rnacentral:piRNA from 1 species
UCCGCACAGGAAAGGUACCCAGUAGAU